UGGGGAAUUUUGGACAAUGGGCGAAAGCCUGAUCCAGCAAUGCCGCGUGUGUGAAGAAGGCCUUCGGGUUGUAAAGCACUUUUGUCCGGAAAGAAAUCCUUGGCUCUAAUACAGUCGGGGGAUGACGGUGCCGGAAGAAUAAGCACCGGCUAACUACGUGCCAGCAGCCGCGGUAAUACGUAGGGUGCAAGCGUUAAUCGGAAUUACUGGGCGUAAAGCGUGCGCAGGCGGUUUGCUAAGACCGAUGUGAAAUCCCCGGGCUCAACCUGGGAACUGCAUUGGUGACUGGCAGGCUAGAGUAUGGCAGAGGGGGGUAGAAUUCCACGUGUAGCAGUGAAAUGCGUAGAGAUGUGGAGGAAUACCGAUGGCGAAGGCAGCCCCCUGGGCCAAUACUGACGCUCAUGCACGAAAGCGUGGGGAGCAAACAGGAUUAGAUACCCUGGUAGUCCACGCCCUAAACGAUGUCAACUAGUUGUUGGGGAUUCAUUUCCUUAGUAACGUAGCUAACGCGUGAAGUUGACCGCCUGGGGAGUACGGUCGCAAGAUUAAAA
rnacentral:rRNA from 1 species